UUGAACGCUGGCGGCAUGCUUUACACAUGCAAGUCGAACGGCAGCGGGGUAGUGCUUGCACUACUGCCGGCGAGUGGCGAACGGGUGAGUAAUAUAUCGGAACGUACCGAGUAAUGGGGGAUAACCAAUCGAAAGAUUGGCUAAUACCGCAUACGUCCUGAGGGAGAAAGCGGGGGAUCGCAAGACCUCGCGUUAUUCGAGCGGCCGAUAACUGAUUAGCUAGUUGGUGGGGUAAAGGCCUACCAAGGCGACGAUCAGUAGCGGGUCUGAGAGGACGAUCCGCCACACUGGGACUGAGACACGGCCCAGACUCCUACGGGAGGCAGCAGUGGGGAAUUUUGGACAAUGGGGCAACCCUGAUCCAGCCAUGCCGCGUGUAUGAAGAAGGCCUUCGGGUUGUAAAGUACUUUUGUUAGGGAAGAAAAGGGAAGUGCUAAUACCACUUUUUGCUGACGGUACCUAAAGAAUAAGCACCGGCUAACUACGUG
rnacentral:rRNA from 1 species